CAGGUAAUCAGGAGCCAGGACACACGCACUGACCAUUAGAUGGGAGGCAGGGAAGGGGCAGAGCCGGGAGAGUGCAAGCAGGAACUUCCCCAAAUCUCCUCCCUGUUCCUGGCCUUGGUUCAUCUUCUCUGAUGAUGAACAAGCCCAAUACCACAGAGGUCCUGCUGCUUCCUGAGGAGGCUUACCAAGUAGGAGACGCUUCCAGAACCAUUCCUUCAAUAGAAGUGGUGGCUGAGCCUGCGCCACCAUCUUAGACCAUGAAAAGAGGUCAUACACCACAAUGCCACCAGAUAAAAGGAGCCUGGGGUCCUGAGCACUUUGUGCAGAAUGACACUGCCAACCUCUGAACUUCAACAGGAGGAGAAAAAUGCACUUGUGUUUCUUUUGAGCCACUGUUUUCGGUCUUCAUAAGUCACAGCCACAUAGGACCAUAACUGAUACUGGUUUCAGAAAAGGUCUGGCUCCAGCAGUGGUCUUCUGGUUGUGCUCCAAGAAGCACAAGUUAGAGACUCUCAAGAAGCUGGAAUCCAGCCCACCGCCUCAGCCAGAGCUCUGUUCCCUUCAGCUUUGCAUAUUGGCUUCCCCCAUAGAAUUUAGGUUGAGCAAAAGUCUUUGGAGCUAAAACAAUUUGAAAACCACUAGAGUCAAUGACCCCUUUCAUAACUACAUAAAGAUCUCUGGUUUUAUGAUUCAACCAGCUUACUCACAAAGUUGGAGCUCUCUUCAAAGAAGAAAGGCUACCCAUGGACCUUGGUCUCAUCUUCGCAGCCAGACUAAAUUCUGAGAAGGGUGAAUUUAGGUUGGUGGUUCUCAGCUUCCUGCAACAAGCUUCCUACGGAGCCUCAACAAUGGCUGGAUUUAUAGAUGUUCCACAAAAUUCUGCGGCUGGUUGCCCCAAUGGGGCAACAGGGAAGCUAUGAGAAGGAGAAUCUAAUCCACCCUGGAGAGCUCUCAGGGAUCUCGGGAUCCCAAUAUAGUGGUGACUGGGCCCCUGAACUCUGAUCUGACCCUCGGACAUAGACAAAAGGAGCUACGUUGUCUCUGCUAAUCCCCUCAACCUUGAGAAAGGUGCCAGCAUUGCCCCAUUGCUCAGAUGAGAAAACUGAGGCUCAGAGAAGGUCAGUGACUCGAUUCAGAUCACACAGCCAGUCUAUCACAGAGCUAUCUCCAAAACCCAUGCUCCUUCUAUUACACUAUCCUGUCCACUCCAGGGAUGGAAAAGAACAUCCAUUGGGAGCUCACCACCGCCCAUCUGGUGCACACAGCCUCUAGCCCCUGGAUAUUUCUGUUCUGUUCUGCAGACCCGCCCAGCCCAAACUGU